AGAGGGGCUCGCGCCUCCCGCCGGCGGGGCGCCCUCACAGCCCCCGGCCGCCAUUUACAGUGCGGGGUGUGUGGGGGGUGGGUGUUGGGAGGGGAAGCAGCGUUGCCUUGACUCACUGGAUCCUUGCACUUUCCAAAAAAAAAAAGAAAAAAAAAAGGAUUUUGAAAUUCAGACUCUUGGUUCCAUUCCCCAAAAUGUAUUAAAUCUUUCUCUUGAGCCCAGUGGUCCAGAAACAUCAUGUGUCUAUGCACUCCAUUCCUCUUACUCUCACUACCAAAACCAGGAACUUCCGUCAGGAAUCUGCCUGGAAACAGCAAGACCGGGCUUGUUACCAAAUGUGGCAUGGCUUUCAAGACUCACUCUUUUUCCUGUAGCUUCUCAGUGUACAUGGAAGAUUUUGAAGUUGUGGCUGAUAGACCCUCUGCCCAACAGGAUAAGGUAGCAUACGUGAUAACAACAGUAGCAAAGCUAAAGUCAACACUGCUAUGUUUGUCUCAGUGACAAGGAUGACAAGGGAAACAAGGAUGUGUCACAUGAG
rnacentral:lncRNA from 1 species